GGGCCCGUAGCUCAGUUGGUUAGAGCUGGCCGCUCAUAACGGUCUGGUCGCAGGUUCGAGUCCUGCCGGGCCCACCA
rnacentral:tRNA from 2 species